UAGGGAAUAUUAGGAAUGGACGAAAGUCUGAUCUAGCAACACCGCGUGUGCGAAGAAGGCCUUCGGGUUGUAAAGCACUUUUUGGAAGGAUUAGGAAGGAAUGUACUUCCAGAAUAAGUCUCGGCUAACUACGUGCCGGCAGCCGCGGUAACACGUAGGAGGCAAACGUUAUCCGGAUUUACUGGGCGUAAAGCGCGUGUAGGUGGUUCUGUAAGUAGGGCGUGAAAGCUCCUGGCUCAACUGGGAGAGGCCGUUCUAAACUGCAGAGCUAGAGGAUGGUAGAGGGAGGUGGAAUUCCCGGUGUAGCGGUGGAAUGCGCAGAUAUCCGGAGGAACACCAGUGGCGAAAGCGGCCUCCUGGACCAUUCCUGACACUCAGACGCGAAAGCUAGGGUAGCAAACG
rnacentral:rRNA from 1 species